UUCGCGCAUAGGAACCAUAGAGUCCUGGCCAGAGUGGGUGGACGCUCUGUCACACUUCCGGACCAUAGAUGCAGCGGCUUUGUGCGCCUGCGUGCGGGCGGGGCUCCGCUCCAGAGCUGAACCGGGACCCAGCUGAGCGUUCAAAUGCGGGCGGCCAGCUAGCCAAUCUGGCCUCGCCACAUCGGCACGAGAAGCCUGUUUCCGGCCGGCCAUCUUGGGUGUAGAACUCUUCCCCGAGGCUUUGCCGUAACUAUGAACGCCACAUACUCCUGGGAUUGAAAGAAGGAAAGUACCCCUGAGUGUGGCUUACUGUGGCUGCUUGCGUGUUCCCGGGGGUCACGGGGCUGGGAUACGCCCCCCCCCCCGAGCCUCCCUCUGAGCUCCAGGACCCCGUGGCACAUGCUGUGCUGGAGCCUAGGUCCACGUCCCUUUGUCGGCGGAGCGGCAGGCUCGCCCCGCCCCCGCACCACCACCCCGCCCCCCGCAUUAACCGAAGAUUCCGGAGCUGCCUUUGCUGUAAGGCAUGCACAGUUUCCCGGUUCGUCGAAGACAAGUGGCAGAGCUGCGCCCUCUCGCUGGAGAAAGGGCAAGGAGAAGCCUCCCUCAUGAUCCAGGGCAUGGCAGACCCCGUGUACACCUUUGGGCCCACCCUGACCAGGCAGAGAAAAGAGACGUUAUGCUCCCCAGGGUGACUUGGAGACAGAGGCGACAACCGCACCAAGGGUGGCAAAGGAGCACUGUCAUUCCUUCUCCGGCUGUGCCCCACUCCUAGCCUUUGAGGGCAGCCUUGCGGUGCAGUUCUGGACGCUUCCGUCCUCCCAGGGCCCAGAUUGUGGCACACCCCCACGCCUCCUCAACACACUCCUUUCCCUGCCCACUGUGUUCCAGCACAUCGAAAGUGUGCCCCUGAGAUGGUUCACAAUAAGCCCCUCAACCCCCCAACAAGAAUAGGAUCCAAGAGAGGUGGGCAGAGUUAGUGCUUGAGUUACCAGCGAUCUCCGUAAAUCCCAGAACUGUCCACACUUCUGGAGGUGGGGACAGGAGAAAGAUUCCCUUCUCCACCUCAUGCCAAGAGAGUCCUGGCAUUGAAACCGAUCAACUACAGGCCACCAGUGAGUCCAAGUUCAGUCAACCAAACAAGCACGGGCCUGUAUUUCUUACCAGCUACAAGUGCUCCACAUUCCGUCAGUAACAUUUAGUAAGUACAUCCCUAUCAUUGAAUCUACCCCAGUGAGUGCCUUAGCUCACCUCCUUAGCCUGGUAGCCUGAGAAUCCAUUCCCACAAAUGUUCAAAUAGGAUUAAUCUGUUAGAUACCAGUUACAUCUGGGAAUUUUUCUUGACACGUGAGCUAUUUCCACAUGGUUCAGACUUAGCCGUGGGGCAUACUGUGACUGCACCCUACAUAUGGGCUGAAUGGUAAGCGGGAUGUUGCACAGGAUCUCAAGGACAACAUGAAUUGCAUUACAAGGGACCAAGCCCACACGAGAUAAUGACACAUUCUUCUAGCGAUGGGACACCAGUCCCUUAGACACGGGGCAGCUACUUGAACCACUAUGGGGGUGCUCAGAGUGGCUGAUGGCAUCCCGACUCUCAGCUUCGACUGAGGCCGAGCAGACGUCCCAGUUCCAGGUUUCCGGGCCACACUCCUCCAACCACGGCCACACCUUUCACACGAGAAACACAGAGAGGCUGGGAAUUCAGUGGACUUUGGGAUUCUGUAACCCGCACCGAUAAACUUGUGUUUAAUUUUCACCACGAGGAACCCUUGCAGUCUUCAGAGCCGUCGUUACCGCCGUGACAGUACAGCAGCCACGCCGGCUCCUCAGGGCUUCCCGCAGGUGGCCCUUCAUCCCGGUUCACUGCGGGUGACAGCCUGAUGAAGGAAGAGGUCCCCGCAGACCACGGGUGCUACGUACGCGCCCAGUUCCCAUUGGCAGGGAGCCCGAGCCCUGCCCUGGGGCCCAAGGGCGCGACCACACCCAUCCCCACAUCCCCACUUGGCGGGCCCCUCUUCUGAGACCACUCCCAGGUCCGACUCUGUAGCAGUCGGGCAGGAGAAGGAGACGAGAAAUAGACACGGUUUCUCAGCAGACGAAAUCGAAUACGAGCAUUUGGUGGCUCAGGGCCCGGAGGGCUGAAGAAACAGAUCGUAUGGCAGAAAGCUGCCGUCCCUAAGGCGAGGGGAAGCGGGGAAGAGGUCGGGCUGAGCAGACACCUAGACGCCAGGAUGAGGGGCCUGGAAGAGGCAGAGCCUGGAUCUCUGAGGAGGGGCUGCCACAAUUUCUCAGGGAAGGCGGAAGCAACCUUAUCCACCACGAGGGGAUAUGGGGCAGGAGAUGAUUUCUGAGGACCAUCUUCCAGGCCAUUGAAGACUUGGGGAGGUGGAGUAGCUUUCUAUCACAAUAACGCAAACAACGCGUAGAUAUCCACGAGCGCCGCUCUCUGAUCUCCUGAGAAAUCAAAGGUAAUGCCAGUCUGGGUUUUGAAGUCCCCCCCGCCCCGCCCCACCCCAGUUAAGCACAAGAGGGGAAG